GAGGGGGUCGCGGCUGAUUAGCUAGUUGGUGGGGUAAUGGCCCACCAAGGCUUUGAUCGGUAGCCGGCCUGAGAGGGCGCACGGCCACACUGGAACUGAAACACGGUCCAGACUCCUACGGGAGGCAGCAGUGGGGAAUUUUGCGCAAUGGGGGAAACCCUGACGCAGCAACGCCGCGUGGAGGAUGAAGUCCCUUGGGACGUAAACUCCUUUCGACCGGGAAGAUUAUGACGGUACCGGUGGAAGAAGCCCCGGCUAACUUCGUGCCAGCAGCCGCGGUAAUACGAGGGGGGCAAGCGUUGUUCGGAAUUAUUGGGCGUAAAGGGCGCGUAGGCGGUGCGGUAAGUCACCUGUGAAAACUCUGGGCUCAACUCAGAGCCUGCAGGCGAAACUGCCGUGCUGGAGUGUGGGAGAGGUGCGUGGAAUUCCCGGUGUAGCGGUGAAAUGCGUAGAUAUCGGGAGG
rnacentral:rRNA from 1 species